UACGUAGGCAGCAAACGUUGUUCGGAAUUACUGGGCGUAAAGGGCUCGUAGGCGGCCAACUAAGUCAGACGUGAAAUCCCUCGGCUUAACCGGGGAACUGCGUCUGAUACUGGAUGGCUUGAAUCCGGGAGAGGGAUGCGGAAUUCCAGGUGUAGCGGUGAAAUGCGUAGAUAUCUGGAGGAACACCGGUGGCGAAGGCGGCAUCCUGGACCGGCAUUGACGCUGAGGAGCGAAAGCCAGGGGAGCAAACGGG
rnacentral:rRNA from 1 species